rnacentral:rRNA from 1 species
GACGAACGCUGGCGGCAGGCUUAACACAUGCAAGUCGAGCGCAUCCUUCGGGGUGAGCGGCGGACGGGUGAGUAACGCGUGGGAACGUGCCCUCUUCUACGGAAUAGCCUCGGGAAACUGAGAGUAAUGCCGUAUACGCCCGCAAGGGGAAAGAUUUAUCGGAGGAGGAUCGGCCCGCGUUGGAUUAGGUAGUUGGUGGGGUAACGGCCUACCAAGCCGACGAUCCAUAGCUGGUUUGAGAGGAUGAUCAGCCACACUGGGACUGAGACACGGCCCAGACUCCUACGGGAGGCAGCAGUGGGGAAUCUUGGACAAUGGGGGCAACCCUGAUCCAGCCAUGCCGCGUGAUCGAUGAAGGCCUUAGGGUUGUAAAGAUCUUUCAGCUGGGAAGAUAAUGACGGUACCAGCAGAAGAAGCCCCGGCUAACUCCGUG